UACCAGCACCCCGAGUGGUCGGGACGAUUAUUGGGCCUAAAGCCUCCGUAGCCGGUUCUACAAGUCUUCCGUUAAAUCCACCUGCUUAACAGAUGGGCUGCGGAGGAUACUAUGGAGCUAGGAGGCGGGAGAGGCAAGCGGUACUUAGUGGGUAGGGGUAAAAUCCGUUGAUCCAUUGAAGACCACCAGUGGCGAAGGCGGCUUGCCAGAACGCGCUCGACGGUGAGGGAUGAAAGCUGGGGGAGCAAACCGG
rnacentral:rRNA from 1 species